GGACACACACUGAGACUGAAACUGGCUACCACCGCUGCCGCUAGAGGGUACCAUGCACCGUUGCGGCCGUAUCAAAAUGGGGCAGCUUUAAUCAGUGCUUCACACCACACACACAGAGAGUCACAGACACAGCCAGCCAGGCCCUGGGAGCACAGCGCAGCGCAGGACGAGGAAGCAGGGGCACGUGAGACUGGCCAACUAACCGUCCAGUCGCCCAGAUCCGACGGCCCCCAGACACCAAAGCAGAGACACCAGCAUGGAUCAAGGAGUGCGUGGAUCACAGGCUGAGUGAGCUAUGCGUGUUUACUUCCUUACCUUGGCGGCCGGCCAGCACAAGGAACAGAAGCCGAUCAAUAAUGGACUGCGACUGAGCUGACGAGGCCAUCGACUCCAUUGCUUUGCUUUCUUCAUCACGAGGAAAGCUGCAGGUUGCAGCCGCAGUCCUGGCGCGCAGAGCCGUAUUGCCAAAUGCCAGCCGGCCAGCCUCUGCUGCAGAGAAAAAGAAAGGAGAAAAGGCAUCAGGAAUUACCAUGAUCCAUGAAGUGCCGGUAUCCUUUUCAUAUCCAUGAUAAAAGAGAUGGUAAUCGACCAGGGGAUGGCAGCAUGCAUCCAGACCGUGUUAGAUGCACCGAAGACUGAUACGAGCACAACGAAAUCAGAACAGUAUCAACGAGCCGCUGCAGCCUUGCACGCUCACUGACGAGUGACCAACCGAAUCGAGGAGGGAAACCAAGAUUGCCUUGCCUACAACACCAGCGGUACAGCACGGAAACAAAUGCCCCAGCACGGCUUACAGCUUUUGCUUAUUUAACCCUAACAGAGUCCGGCUAAUCAACUAAAGAAACUAGGACAUGACAGCAACAGAUCCGCGGCGGCGAUGAACGGAGAAAAGUUAACCUUGCUCAUUUACAACUUUCUACCUAGAAAAAGGGCCUGGUCUUGGCGAAAUAGGAAUGGAGGGUCGUUCGGGCACAUGGCCAUGGCAGAAGGGAAGCAAAACGGUGGGCUCGAGCGGGACUGCCGCCACCAGCGGA
rnacentral:lncRNA from 1 species